GAUGAACGCUGGCGGCGUGCCUAAUACAUGCAAGUCGAGCGAACGGACGAGAAGCUUGCUUCUCUGAUGUUAGCGGCGGACGGGUGAGUAACACGUGGAUAACCUACCUAUAAGACUGGGAUAACUUCGGGAAACCGGAGCUAAUACCGGAUGAUAUUUUGAACCGCAUGGUUCAAAAGUGAAAGACGGUCUUGCUGUCACUUAUAGAUGGAUCCGCGCUGCAUUAGCUAGUUGGUAAGGUAACGGCUUACCAAGGCAACGAUGCAUAGCCGACCUGAGAGGCCCACACGGGAGCGAGACACCGGGCACGACUGUGAGGGGAAGAAGAAGUAAGGAAUCUGCCGCAGGGGGCGAAAGGCUGACGGGGCAACGGAGUGUGAGUGAUGAGGGUCGUGGAAUCGUAAAUCGCUGUUAUUAACGAAACACAUAUUUGUUAGUAACUGUCAACAUCUUGACGCAACAUAAAAAGAAAGCAACGGCUAACUACGUGCCCGCAGCUGCGCUAAUAAGCGUAAGGGCAACCGUUCGAAC
rnacentral:rRNA from 1 species